GUGUCAGCCGCCGCGGUAAUACGUAGGGUCCAAGCGUUAUCCGGAAUCACUGGGCGUAAAGCGUGCGUAGGCGGAAGUUUAAGUGUGAUGUUAAAUCGUGUGGCUCAACCAUAUCGAUGCAUCGCAAACUGGGCUUCUAGAGGAUGGCAGAGGCAAGUGGAAUUGGCAGUGUAGCAGUGAAAUGCGUAGAGAUUGCCAGGAACACCAAUGGCGAAGGCAGCUUGCUGGGCCACACCUGACGCUGAGGUACGAAAGCGUGGGGAGCGAACAGGAUUAGAUACCCUGGUAGUCC
rnacentral:rRNA from 1 species